AUCCAGCUGAAGAGUCUCAAAUAGGACAAAACCAGCGUCCUGGAU
rfam:Schistosoma mattheei strain Denwood, Zambia genome assembly, scaffold: SMTD_contig0000172